CUUCUCUAUUCCUUCGUCCUUGAUGCGCCGCCGCCGUCCUCUGUCCCGUCGGCGAGCUUCUGCUCCGGGCCUGCCUCCCCGUCGAUGACCUUUACAUGCCAUCUGCGACUGCCGCCCGUCCGUCGGCGUCCAUCGAAUUCUCGAGCUCAACGGUGUGAAUUACUCUGCUGGGUUUGGAUUUAGCGUGAGGGCCACAUGAUGCUGCAUCUUCUCGAUUCCCCAUGUAUGACGCCCCACCUUUUUUCCUUUGUUUAUUAUGCUUUGUUUUCUUAGUUUAUAGCAGCAGGAUCAGGGGCAAGCUUUGAUGCAUCUUCGGUGAUGACCGAUGAUUGAUCGAUUGUUGGCUAGAGGAGAAUUUACUGUGAUUUAGAUGUAAAUGAGGCUCUGAUCUGUAUUUCUUUGUGGGAAACAUCAUGGGAGCUUUAUUAAUAAUUUGCAGGAUUUCAGUAUGCUAACACAAGAUUUAGAAAUAAAAUAAGGAGAAUGGUCAACUAUAUGAAAAAACAAUUAAACCAAUGUCUCUCAUAAUCCUCCGUUGAAUUGUAAUGUUUUCAUGUA